rnacentral:rRNA from 1 species
CGGAGGAUCCAAGCGUUAUCCGGAAUCAUUGGGUUUAAAGGGUCCGUAGGCGGGUUUAUAAGUCAGUGGUGAAAGCCCAUCGCUCAACGAUGGAACGGCCAUUGAUACUGUAGAUCUUGAAUUAUUAGGAAGUAACUAGAAUAUGUAGUGUAGCGGUGAAAUGCUUAGAGAUUACAUGGAAUACCAAUUGCGAAGGCAGGUUACUACUAAUGGAUUGACGCUGAUGGACGAAAGCGUGGGUAGCGAACAGGAUUAGAUACCCUGGUAGUCCACGCCGUAAACGAUGGAUACUAGCUGUUCGGAGCAAUCUGAGUGGCUAAGCGAUAGUGAUAAGUAUCCCACCUGGGGAGUACGUUCGCAAGAAUG